UACGUAGGGGACGAGCGUUGUCCGGAGUUACUGGGCGUAAAGGGCCCGCAGGCGGUCUGCCGCGUUUGUGCUGACAGCUCCUGGCUUAACUGGGAGAGCGGUGCGAAGACGGGUGGACUGAGAGGACCAGAGAGGGACAUGGAACUCCGGGUGUAGUGGUGAAAUGCGUAGAUAUCCGGAAGAACACCAAAGGCGAAGGCAGUGUCCUGGCUGGUACCUGACGCUGAGGGGCGAAAGCUAGGGGAGCGAACGGG
rnacentral:rRNA from 1 species